GGUAAGACGUAGGGAUUGAAGAAGAUCUUAAUCGUAUACACUACUAAGAGUGUAAAGUACGGGCACCCCUAUGCUGGAAGGCUAUGCCUCCU
rnacentral:sRNA from 1 species